ensembl:lncRNA
GCCCCGUGAUUGGGGCCUGGAGGGGAACCCCACAACGGGGGGGCAGCUCAAUGAGAGGCACCAUCCCCACGGACCCCCACCGCCAGCAAAGCCCGACGUGCCACAGCCUGGGGAGGGCGUCCCUCAGCACUGAACCCAUAUCUCCACAACCCCAUAUCUCCACAUCCCCACAUUCCCAUCCACAUCCCUACAACCCCACAUCCCCCCGUUCCCAUAUCCCUACACUUCCAUAUCCCUACAUCUCCACAUCCCCAUCUUCUCAUCCAUAUUCCUCCAUCCCCAAGUUCCCAAUCUCCCCCCAUCCCUACCUCUGCAUGUCCCUAUAUCCCCCCAUCCCCAUAUCCCCCCAUCCCUACACCCCAAUGCCCCCCGGGGUCCCCCCCCCACUGAGGCUCCGACCCUACAGAAGCACAGAACCCGCUCUGCCCCACACCCACGGUUGGUGGGGGAUGGAUGCGGUGCCCCACGGCAGCCCCGUAUGGGACCAGACAUCCCGACCACAUAUGGGACUUAAACCCCGCAGCGGCCGCAUUUGCUGAUUAAGCAGGAGGACCCUGCCCUAUUUAUUAGUUUUCUGCUGUUAAUUGUCCCUGACGCCCCUAAUGAAAAUCGGGGAUCCCAGGUGUUAAGUGGCAUUAGGGCGUCUCGCUAAGAAAGACGACUUUGCCCGCUUAAUCCCGGGAGAUAAACCCCAAAGCUCAUCGCGGCCCCGAGCACUAGGAAGCUUAUGACACAAAUUAAGCUCUUCACAUUGGCGACGCCCUCCCUGUGGGGCGGGGGGCUCUGGGGGACCCCAUAGGGCUGGGAUGGGGUGGGAGUUUGGGGUCGGCCCCAUACAACGUGGUUCAAUCCCGAUCCCAAUCGCUGCCUCGGUUUCCCCCACUUGUGGGACCCUUUGGGGCUCAGCUCUUCCGGUGGUCCCAACGCCCCACAGCCCCGCAGCCGGGGGUCCUUAAUGGGGCCAUCUGUGGGGUUGGACCCAACCCGAAUCUGGGCCAAAAAAUGGGAUUAGGGCCCCACGCUGCACCUCAGCAGUGGGAUUAGUGGGGCUGAGCUGCCAAAGCGGCACAGAGGUGGCCGAGGGGGUCCUGGGGGGGGGGGGGGACCCCAUCAGCACUUCGCUAUGGGUCGGUGGGAGGGCGGGCUGAGCCCCCCCGGGGUUUGGGGCCAUGUGAGGGUUGGCCAUUGGUUUGUAUGGGGGUUUGCUCCAUAUGGGGUUUUGCUCCACGUGGGGUUUCACCAUAGGUUUGCAAUGGGGUUUGGCCAUUGGUUUGCAAUGGGGUUUUGCUCUGUAUGGGGUUUUUCCAUCAUUUGGGGUUUUGUUCCACAUGGGGUUUGGCCAUAAGUUUGCAGUGGGGUUUUGUUAUUGGUUUGCAGUGGGGUUUUGCUCCAUGUGGGGUUUCACCAUUGGUUCUCGAUGGGGUUUUGCUCUGUAUGGGGUUUUUCCUUCUUUUGGGGUUUUGCUUCAUAUGAUGUUUUGUCAUUGGUUUGCAAUGGGGUUUUGGCCAUUGGUUUGUAUGGGGUUUUGGCCAUUGGUUUGUAUGGGGGUUUGCUCCAUAUGGGGUUUUGCUCCACGUGGGGUUUCACCAUAGGUUUGCAAUGGGGUUUGGCCAUUGGUUUGCAAUGGGGUUUUGCUCCAUGUGGGGUUUUUCCAUCAGUUGGGAUUUUGCUCCUCUAUGGGGUUUGGCCAUAAGUUUGCAGUGGGGUUUUGCCCCACGUGGGGCUCCACCAUUGGUCUGCAAUGGGGUUUGGCCAUUGGUUUCUAAUGGGGUUUUGCCUCAUAUGGUGUUUUGUCAUUGGUUUGCAAUGGGGUUUUGCCCCCAUUUGGGGUCUUUCCCCCACGUGCGCUUUGGCCACCGCUCUACAAUGGGGUUUUCCCAUCGGUUGGCAGUGGGGUUUUGCUGAGCGCCCCCCCCCGCCCCCAAUGAAGCACAGAUAUGGGGUCCGCCCCCCCCCCCCCCCCCCCAUCCCCACCCCAAUAAAACCAAACUGCAUUUCUUAAUGAGUUCAUCUUUUAUUGAAUCUUUU